rnacentral:rRNA from 1 species
UAAUACAUGCAAGUCGAACGAACUUCCGUUAAUUGAUUAUGACGUACUUGUACUGAUUGAGAUUUUAACACGAAGUGAGUGGCGAACGGGUGAGUAACACGUGGGUAACCUGCCCAGAAGUAGGGGAUAACACCUGGAAACAGAUGCUAAUACCGUAUAACAGAGAAAACCGCAUGGUUUUCUUUUAAAAGAUGGCUCUGCUAUCACUUCUGGAUGGACCCGCGGCGUAUUAGCUAGUUGGUGAGGUAAAGGCUCACCAAGGCAGUGAUACGUAGCCGACCUGAGAGGGUAAUCGGCCACAUUGGGACUGAGACACGGCCCAGACUCCUACGGGAGGCAGCAGUAGGGAAUCUUCCACAAUGGACGCAAGUCUGAUGGAGCAACGCCGCGUGAGUGAAGAAGGGUUUCGGCUCGUAAAGCUCUGUUGUUAAAGAAGAACGUGGGUAAGAGUAACUGUUUACCCAGUGACGGUAUUUAACCAGAAAGCCACGGCUAACUACGUGCCAGCAGCCGCGGUAAUACGUAGGUGGCAAGCGUUAUCCGGAUUUAUUGGGCGUAAAGCGAGCGCAGGCGGUCUUUUAAGUCUAAUGUGAAAGCCUUCGGCUCAACCGAAGAAGUGCAUUGGAAACUGGGAGACUUGAGUGCAGAAGAGGACAGUGGAACUCCAUGUGUAGCGGUGAAAUGCGUAGAUAUAUGGAAGAACACCAGUGGCGAAGGCGGCUGUCUGGUCUGCAACUGA